UGAGGGGGGCUGCUCCUAGUACGAGAGGACCGGAGUGGAUGCAUCACUGGUGUUCGGGUUGUCAUGCCAAUGGCACUGCCCGGUAGCUAAAUGCGGAAAAGAUAAGUGCUGAAAGCAUCUAAGCACGAAACUUGCCCCGAGAUGAGUCUUCCCUGAGACUUUGAGUCUCCUGAAGGAACGUUAAAGACGAUGACGUUGAUAGGCCGGGUGUGUAAGCGCAGCGAUGCGUUGAGCUAACCGGUACUAAUGAACCGUGAGGCUUAACCUUACAACGCCGAAG
rnacentral:rRNA from 1 species